rnacentral:rRNA from 1 species
GAUGAACGCUGGCGGCGUGCCUAAUACAUGCAAGUCGAGCGAACGGACGAGAAGCUUGCUUCUCUGAUGUUAGCGGCGGACGGGUGAGUAACACGUGGAUAACCUACCUAUAAGACUGGGAUAACUUCGGGAAACCGGAGCUAAUACCGGAUAAUAUUUUGAACCGCAUGGUUCAAAAGUGAAAGACGGUCUUGCUGUCACUUAUAGAUGGAUCCGCGCUGCAUUAGCUAGUCGGUAAGGUAACGGCUUACCAAGGCAACGAUGCAUAGCCGACCUGAGAGGGGGAUGGCCAACACGGAAAUGGGAACGGGGCCCAGACCCCAGGGGGGGGCAGAAGGGGGGAAUCUUCCGAAGGGGGAAAAGGCGUAAGGGGAAAACGCCGGGGGAGGAAAGAGGGUUGGGGGACUGAAAAACUUUUUUAUAGGGGAAAAAAAUAUGUGAAGGAAACUGGGCACUCCUGGCGGGUACUAAAUAAGAAACCCCCGGCAACCUACG